GCCGCUGUAGCUCAGUUGGUAGAGCAGCGCAUUCGUAAUGCGAAGGUCGGAGGUUCGACUCCUCUCAGCGGCACCA
rnacentral:tRNA from 2 species